GUCUACGGCCAUACCACCCUGAACGCGCCCGAUCUCGUCUGAUCUCGGAAGCUAAGCAGGGUCGGGCCUGGUUAGUACUUGGAUGGGAGACUUAAUAUAUGUCCUACAAACAGAUUGCAGUGUCUU
rnacentral:rRNA from 1 species